GCUCGGCCUGCCGCUGAGCCUCCUGCAGCAGCUCCAGUUCUUGCAGCUUCCUCUCCUUCUCCUCCUGCAGCUGCUGCAGUCGCAGCAGCUCCUCCUCCUUGGCUGCCCGGCGUCGCUCGCGCUGUUCCCGCUGCUCCCGCCGCUUCUGUUUCAGGUCCUUGUGCAGCGACGUCUUCCCCUCCGCCUGCAGCCGGAUCGCAGUCUGGAUGGCUAAGGGCAGAGCCGGACGGAGUCAGCCCUGGUCUAGUCACCACCGCAAAGGGGCCCCAAAGGUCACUCCGGUGAACAGGCCCAGUUAGACCCAGGCCGGCACUCACCGGCCGUCCACUCCUGGCGCUGGCGGGUGUCUGAGGCGCUCAUCUCAUAGGUGCGGCUGGCAGUCUUCACACAAAACAUGCAGCGCUUUCCUUCGCGGUCCGGAAGCACCUACAGGAUGGCCCAGGCCAAGUGACUUCGCUGACAUAGGAGCCACAUCUGCCCCAGUAGUACCCCAGCUCCAGCUUCCUCCUCUUUCUCUUGGCUGACCAUCUUCUCUGGGACCGUUCCUACCCUGCCAGGAGUAUGCAUGGUCUGGGGUGGAUCGUUAGUUACGGGGUGCGUGCGAGCCACUUUAUUCUUGGUAUCUCUCCACAAGGUUUAGUACAUAGUACAUGCUUGAACAUGUGCCUGGAGCCUCACUCAGCACCUACAACUGCUGAUUUCCACCUGGUCUCUUAAAUGGCACUCGUUCUUCAAGGGUUUGGAGAUACUGAUAAUGCAGGGUGUGUUUGACAUCCUUGCUCUUCUGCCCUAGUGUUCUCUUGUGUUCUCUCUCUCUCUCUCUCUCUCUCUCUCUCUCUCUCUCUCUCUGAGGCAGGGUUUCUUUGUGUAGCUCUGACUGUCCUAGACUAGCUCUAUAGACCAGGCUGGCUUCAAACUCUCCCUCUGCCUCCCAAGUGCUGGGAUUAAAGGCGUGUACCACAACGUGCCCAGCUCUGCACUAGUGUUUUCCAUACAACAUUUAUCUACAGUCAUAUAUUCCUGUCGGACCUUACUUCAUAGAGAACGUAAUUGGCUCUGAGAUAUCUGGAGCCUUACCCAACACCUGUUUCUUUGUGCAACAGAAAGGGAUAAUGCCUCGGGGAACUAUUUUCUCUUGAGACAAGGUUUUGUUGUGUAGCCCAGGUUGGCCUCCUACCUCAAAAGUCUCCUCUGCCCCAGUCUCUGGAGUAUGAGGAGCCCUUAAUAAUUUUUUUUUCUUUUGGUUUUUUCGAGACAGGGUUUCUCUGUGUAGCCCUGGCUGUCCUGGAACUAACUCACUUUGUAGACCAGGCUGGCCUCGAACUCAGAAAUCCGCCUGCCUCUGCCUCCCAAGUGCUGGGAUUAAAGGCGUGCGCCACCACUGCCCGGCUCCCCAGCUCCAAUUGGUUCUUGAUCUGUCAGUAAAGAAGCCAUGAGCCAAUUGCUGGGCAGAAGGGAUAGGCGGGACCUCCGGGUCCCUGGAGGCAAGCAGACAGAUCCAAGGAAGGAGAGGAGAGUUCGUCAUGCUUCAGAUGGAAAAAAGUUGACCAGCCAUGUGAGACCUCUAAACGGAGUGGCCACACAGGCCACUCCUACAUGCAGGGGGUCAGGGGUGUUUAGCAGGGACUAGAUGUACUGAGCAACUAAAGUUUAGGGCAGGUGGGAGGUGCAGAGCUAAGAGUAUUGAUAAGGGCAUGCUAGCCAUAGGAGUUUAAUAAUGCCCAUGAAUAGUGCCAAGAAGGCAAGUUGAAAAUGAACAACGUGUGUGUCUGUGUCUUUAUCCCUGGGUUCAAGGGAAGCUGGGUGGGGGCUGGUUGCUUGGCCAUUCCCAGAGCUUAGGCGGGGUAGCAAAAUCUACACUUCACACCUACACAGGUCAUAAGCCCCAGAGGAGAGCCCAAAAUGAUCGUGCUGCUAAAUGUAUGUAUGAAACUGACUCCUAAUGUCUCAUAGGCAUUCCCUAGGCUGGGAAGCUCCUGUCGUCAGUAGAUGGUGUUUAACACACUGAUCCACAAUUGGCCAGGGUGCAGAAUGCUCAGCCCGAAACGGAAAAGAUAAACUGCAAACUCCCUCCCAAGGUUCAGGGAUCACUUCAGAAGGGAGUAGAAAAACCGUAAGAGCCCGAGGCAGCUGGUGACUGCAAGGAACCAUUAUCUUCUGGACCUGGCAGGGCAGAUGCACGAAUGAGCACACACAUAUUUGACAGCAUACACAAAGCCUGUGCAAGCUCAUGCCAGACCAAAUCCCAGAAAGGACGGGGGGGUUGGGCAGUGGUGCUACUGGCAAAUUGUUAGUUGCUGGGAGAGGAAGAGUGUAGCACUUGGUAAGACACAAAUUAUCCUGAAAGAUUC
rnacentral:lncRNA from 1 species